CCUACGGGUGGCAGCAGUGGGGAAUAUUGCGCAAUGGGCGAAAGCCUGACGCAGCAACGCCGUGUGAGGGAUGAAGGCUUUCGGGUCGUAAACCUCUGUCAGAAGGGAAGAACGGGCAUUGGUCUAAUAGGCCUUUGUUUUGACGGUACCUUCAGAGGAAGCACCGGCUAACUCCGUGCCAGCAGCCGCGGUAAUACGGAGGGUGCAAGCGUUAUUCGGAAUUACUGGGCGUAAAGCGCACGUAGGCCGCUUUGUAAGUCAGGGGUGAAAUCCCACGGCUCAACCGUGGAACUGCCCUUGAAACUGCGAAGCUUGAAUCCUGGAGAGGGUGGCGGAAUUCCUGGUGUAGGAGUGAAAUCCGUAGAUAUCAGGAGGAACACCGGUGGCGAAGGCGGCCACCUGGACAGGUAUUGACGCUGAGGUGCGAAAGUGUGGGGAGCAAACAGGAUUAGAUACCCUAGUAGUC
rnacentral:rRNA from 1 species